rnacentral:rRNA from 1 species
UGGGGAAUAUUGCACAAUGGGCGCAAGCCUGAUGCAGCCAUGCCGCGUGUGUGAAGAAGGCCUUCGGGUUGUAAAGCACUUUCAGCGAGGAGGAAGGUGGUGAGCUUAAUACGCUCAUCAAUUGACGUUACUCGCAGAAGAAGCACCGGCUAACUCCGUGCCAGCAGCCGCGGUAAUACGGAGGGUGCAAGCGUUAAUCGGAAUUACUGGGCGUAAAGCGCACGCAGGCGGUUUGUUAAGUCAGAUGUGAAAUCCCCGGGCUCAACCUGGGAACUGCAUUUGAAACUGGCAAGCUAGAGUCUCGUAGAGGGGGGUAGAAUUCCAGGUGUAGCGGUGAAAUGCGUAGAGAUCUGGAGGAAUACCGGUGGCGAAGGCGGCCCCCUGGACGAAGACUGACGCUCAGGUGCGAAAGCGUGGGGCAGCAAACAGGAUUAGAUACCCUGGUAGUCCACGCUGUAAAACGAUGUCGAUUUUGGAGGUUGUGCCCUUGAGGCGUGGCUUCCGGAGCUAACGCGUUAAAUCGACCGCCUGGGGAGUACGGCCGCAAGGUUAAAACUUAAAGGAAUUGACGGGGUC